GGAUAUGGUUAGGUUUAUAACCGAAUAAACCGAAUAAACCGAAUAAAACCGAUUAAAAUAAGAACAUAUAAAUAUAUACAUUAUAUAACGCCAGGGUACAUAAUACGUGUAACUGAUAUGUUAAUAUGUUAUAUAAGUUAAUUUUCUUGUUAAUAAAUAAUACCAUAUACUUUUAUAUUAAAGAAGCCCUAAUUUGAAAAUACUUAAACAAUAAUUUAAAAAACUCACAGCAGCCGUAGGUGGAAUAGUCUUUCUUCUUUUAACUUUUUGCUUCUUAGUUCCUACUGCCAUUGAAUCAUUGACUGAGUGAAGGUAUCUCUUAAUAAUUUUCUCUUUUUGAUUUUUCAUGCUUUGAGAAAUUGUAAAAUUAGAUGGUAACAAGAAAUUUCUUUGAAAAAACAGAGGAGAACAAGAAGAGCUGUAAUAAACAAAAGAGCAUCGAACAGAUGUUGGAUGAAUAUGAAUUCAUGGACUCUCUAGUAGAAGAAUUUCACGUUCAGUCAGAGGAGGCAUGACUGAUGAACAAUGUCACCAAUUAUGGGAGAGUGGGAAAACGUUUUUUCAUGCAUAUGUUUUGUUUUUAUUAUUUAUUUUUCACAACUUUGAGCUAUGGUUUUGGUUUUUGAUUUGAUUAUUUUAUUUGCUUAUUUUGUUACUCUUUGACAUUGAUUAUUUAUAAGAUGAACGUUUUGAUAAA